UCCUCUUUUCUUUAGCCGCCUCCAUCCCCAAUUUUCCCUCUUUCUCUCUAACAGUCAAAAACUCAAAAACACAACUCCAAUCCUCUCUAUAAUUUUUUGUUCUCUCUAUAUCUCUUCACCGCAUGCUUGGACCUUGUCAAUAUCAAAAUCAAAUUUAGAUCUCUUUAUUUCUCUCCUAUCCCUCAGAUCUGAAAAUUUUCGUUUCCUUUUUCUGAUUUUGCCCUCUGAAAUUCCGGCCGAAAUGAACGAACUAUUAGCCUCCGAUUUCGGCUUCAAACCCCAAGGCAAAUCGGCUCCGAUGGCCGGUUCCAAAUCCACCUCCACCGUCGGAAGAUCGUCAACGCGUCCUCACUCCUCCUUCAAUUCCUUCAAGGAUCAUCGUCGGACGCCACCACCACCACGACUUCUUCCUCCUUCAAUUUCGAUAUGUUUCGCAAUUUCGGUGCUCCGGUGAAGUCUUCGUCUUCAUCAUUUUGCCUUUUUGGAUAGCUCCAAUUUAUUUGGCAUCAUGCAUAAAGCAGGGAAUGGAUUUGCUAGAGAUUUUAUUGAGCAAGCAACCUGUUCAAUUGAGCAGCUUGAGUAUUUAUUGUAUCCACAUCACCCCUCCUAAGUCCCCUGAUCUUACAGGACCAACACUAGUGCUUAGGUGUGAACCUUCAAUGAUCCAGAAUGCUCUUAAGGUCCAACAUGAUUUUGAUCAUCACCUCAGUAUCAGCAUGUUGCAACUGUUAAUGCACAUGUGGGAGUAAGUGCUAGGUCCGUGUUUGUGUGUGUGUGCUUGGUGUUUGAAAAGUGUGUAGAUUAAAGUAUUGUAGACAAAAACCAGUGUGUAUGCGUGUGUGUGUGUAGCAAAGAGUCACAACAGAAUGCAUGUGUGUGAAGCAAAGAGUCACAACAGAAUGAAUGUGUGUGUGUGUGAGGGAGAGGGUUUAGAGUUUAUUGCUAGUGGGACUCUCUCUCUCUCUCUCGUAAUGAUUUUGAAAUAUUUUUCUAAAUAAUUCUUUGAUUAUGCUGGGAAAAUACAGACUGCUGCCAUUUCCUUUUUUUGUCCGGAUGAUGUAACUUUGUCACGUGGUGUACAAACUUAGUUCACAUUCUUUGGCUUAGCUGGGCUGAAGCAAUUUUUAAAUAUAGUCACUGUUUAAGCUUAUAAUAUAUAUAUAUAUAUAUAUAUAUUUAUAUAUGUUGAAAAGGUCUACAUCGUGGGUCCACAUGGCAGUGGAGCCCUCUUAUUUUGAUAGAAUAAUCAAGAUAAUAAUAGGAAAAAGGUAUAUGAAUUUGAUGAUGGCACAUGAUAGGGGCUCAGAAUUUGGCUUUUGUCUGACACAAUUUAAUCUUCUUGUAGACAUUAUUUUCCUUUUCAUGAAACAAAUACGCAUGUGCUGGUCCAGUUUAUUUUCCUUUUAGAUCUGUGUCAUUCUUUAUUACUAGGAUGGAACCUUAAUUCAAAUAUUGUUGUGUUAUUGUUAGUAUUAUCAUUUCAUUUCUAAUAAAUUUAAAUGUUCUGUUGUAAUGACGAAUAAUUUACCAUUAGGGAUGUGAAUGGCUAUGCUGAAGCUAAUGCUUGAAGAAGGAUUUCUUUAGAUAAACAAGAGGUUGUUCAACACAGUUAUUCUUGUGCACCUGAGAGGUCAUUCUUGUAUCAUGGCCGUAUGUAUGUCUCUGCGUGACACAUUUGCUUCCAUUCAAAUAUUUUUUCUAAGCAAAUGAAGGUUAGCCUGUCAUUCUUUUUUCCUAAGGUUGAGCCAAUAUUAUUGUUAGCAAGCAAGUUUGAGACAAUAUUAUAUGGGUGUAUUAUUUCUUUUGAGGAUCUCUGGAGAGCAUCAUUGGUAUGAAUUACUUUUAGGAGGAGCUCUGAUCCUAAAUCACCCAUUCACUUUCAACGUAGUCAUCUCACAUAUAAAGGUGCAAGAAGAACAUCAGAUGGCCUUUUAUGUUUCUUUACAUUAGAAAGCUGCUGGUUUAGUUAAAUUUAUGAGUGAAUGGCUUCUUUUGUAGAUUACUGAAAUAGGCUGGAGUCAUCCACAAGGUCUUAUUAUGAGCUUUUUUAAGUUAUUGGUGUUUGAGGAUUUUUUGUGUACAAAGAAAUACAUUUGAACAACCGCAUUUUUUGCCAUUGUUGGAGGAUAUUUUUAAACA